AUACAGGGGGUGCAAGCGUUGUUCGGAAUUACUGGGCGUAAAGGGAGCGUAGGCGGAUCUACAAGACAGUGGUUAAAUCUCCGGGCUCAACCUGGAACUUGCCUUUGUGACUGUGGAUCUUGAGUAUGGUAGAGGUUGGCGGAAUUUCCGGUGUAGCGGUGGAAUGCGUAGAGAUCGGAAGGAACACCAGUGGCGAAGGCGGCUUUCUGGACUGAUACUGACACUGAGGCACGAAAGCGUGGGGAGC
rnacentral:rRNA from 1 species